rnacentral:rRNA from 1 species
GACGAACGCUGGCGGCGUGGAUUAGGCAUGCAAGUCGAACGGUAGGAUACCUUCGGGUAUCUGAGAGUGGCGAACGGGUGAGUAACACGUAGGUGAUCUACCCUCAAGAUUGGGACAACCCAGGGAAACUUGGGCUAAUACCGGAUGAAAGCAGCAGUGAUGUUGUUUGAAAGGUGGCGUAAGCUGCCGUUUGGGGAUGAGCCUGCGCUCUAUUAGUUAGUUGGCGGGGUAAAGGCCCACCAAGGCGAUGAUAGAUAGGCGGCCUUAACGGGUGGUCGCCCACACUGGGAUUGAGAUACGGCCCAGACUCCUACGGGAGGCAGCAGUCGAGAAUAGUCUACAAUGGCCGAAAGGCUGAUAGUGCGACGCCGCGUGAACGAAGAAGCCCUUCGGGGUGUAAAGUUCUUUUAAUGUGAGCAGUGCUUUCAUGUGAACAGCAUGGGGAGAGAGAUAUUAGCAUAUGAAUAAGCAACGGCUAACUCCGUGCCAGCAGCCG